ACAAUUUAUAACCCCUAAUACACCACAAACACCAAAUCAAAUCAUUUUAUUUUCCCCAGUAUAGGCGAUAGAAAAGGAACCUUAGAGCUACAGAAAAAGUACCGCAAGGGAAAGCU
rnacentral:rRNA from 1 species